UACGUAGGGGGCAAGCGUUGUCCGGAUUUAUUGGGCGUAAAGAGCGUGUAGGCGGCCAGGCAGGUCCGCUGUGAAAACUCGAGGCUCAACCUCGAGAGGUCGGUGGAAACCGUCUGGCUAGAGUCCGGAAGAGGAGAGUGGAAUUCCCGGUGUAGCGGUGAAAUGCGCAGAUAUCGGGAAGAACACCCGUGGCGAAGGCGGCUCUCUGGGACGGUACUGACGCUGAGACGCGAAAGCGUGGGGGGCGAACAGG
rnacentral:rRNA from 1 species